CGUAGAGUUUCGAGUCCUGGACUCAAGGAUAAACGCUGGCGGCGUGACAUAACACAUGCAAGUCGAACGAUGAAGCUUAAUGAUCUCUUCGGAGUGAUUUUAAGUGGAUUAGUGGCGGACGGGUGAGUAACGCGUGAGUAACCUGCCUUGACACAAGGGGAUAGCCGUUGGAAACGACGAAUAAUACCCUAUGAUAUAAACUCUUCGCAUGAAGAGCUUAUCAAAGAUUUAUCGGUGUAAGAUGGACUCGCGUCUGAUUAGCUAGUUGGUGAGAUAACAGCUUACCAAGGCAACGAUCAGUAGCCGGCUUGAGAGAGUGUACGGCCACAUUGGGACUGAGACACGGCCCAGACUCCUACGGGAGGCAGCAGUGGGGAAUUUUGCACAAUGGGGGCAACCCUGAUGCAGCGACGCCGCGUGAUUUAGAAGGCCUUCGGGUUGUAAAAAUCUUUUGUAUGGGAAGAAAAUGACAGUACCAUACGAAUAAGGACCGGCUAAUUACGUG
rnacentral:rRNA from 1 species